CAGUCGCCGCGGUAAUGCGAAGGGGGCUAGCGUUGCUCGGAAUUAUUGGGCGUAAAGGGCGCGUAGGCGGAUGUUUAAGUCAGAGGUGAAAGCCCAGGGCUCAACCUUGGAACUGCCUUUGAUACUGGACAUCUUGAGUGUGGGAGAGGUGAGUGGAACUCCGAGUGUAGAGGUGAAAUUCGUUGAUAUUCGGAAGAACACCAGUGGCGAAGGCGACUCACUGGCCCAUUACUGACGCUGAGGCGCGAAAGCGUGGGGAGCAAACAGGAUUAGAUACCCCAGUAGUCCCUGUCUCUUAUAC
rnacentral:rRNA from 1 species